GGAAAUCUGCUUAGACUUAAUUUUAGUUUUGUAUUUUAAUUUUUUUAGUGCCUCAAAUGGUGGCCGAGAGUGAGAUGAAGAAAGAUGCUUCUACUGAUUCUCCCACUUUGGUUCUUGAAGAAAAUUCCCGUUUUCUCAGUUUAUUUUUCUGCCUUCUCCCAGCUGUCUCAUUUCAUCACCUUCUGCCCAACUCCAAACACAAGGUCAUGUCAGCCACUUCAUUUCUGGAAGAAUCAUGCCCCUGUACAUGUAAGUUUAUUAUUAUAUUGAUAUUUACUUAUUUAGCUCCAUUUUUGAUAUAUUUGCUUCACUUAGUAUGCUUUCUGUAAUGCCCAUUAACUUACUUAAAUAACAUUUUUCCUUUAGUUUUGGUUUAGUGCAUUAAUCAAGCUUUGAGAGUUUUUUUUUCACACACACAAAAAAAAGUCUUAUUGUCUACUAUAAAAGAACAACUUGGUCUUUUAUAUGCAGUGCAAGUUUUUUAUGGUUAGGAAUUAUAACGUUAUUGCCUCCUGUACUGAUUAGCCACUCAUUGUUUAAUAAUUGAGUUUGUAAUUUUUCCCAUAUGAGCCACCUAUGUUUGUUUCAGAGAAUCAAGAAGGAUAAGGUGUUCUACUUUACAGUUUAUGGUAGAAGCACCCACAUAGCACCUCCUAUGUGGUUUAUAAAUUAUUAGCUCUAAUUCACUAACAAACAUGUAUACAUAUUUUAUUUUGUUUUUAUUUUGGAAUUUUCUUGUCUCUUUGUAGUUCCACUUUAAUCAUUCUACCAUCUUGUAAGUUGAUCUUUGACGUUUCACGCAUCAAAAGAUUCGAAAGUUUCACGCAUCAAUAUACUUGAUAGUCCGGGUGGAGCAGAAGCGUUUGAAUUAAUUGCAAAGUUCUGUUAUGGUGUAAAUGUUGAGAUUACACUAUCAAAUAUUGCUAAACUUAUUACUUGUAUGGUUAACUUUAUAU
rnacentral:misc_RNA from 1 species